rnacentral:rRNA from 1 species
ACGCUCGACAGUGCCAGCCGCCGCGGUAAUACGGAGGGUGCGAGCGUUAUCCGGAUUUACUGGGUUUAAAGGGUGUGUAGGCGGGCUAUUAAGUCAGCGGUGAAAUCUUUGGGCUCAACCCGGAAACUGCCAUUGAUACUAUUAGUCUUGAAUAUUGUGGAGGUAUGCGGAAUGUGUCAUGUAGCGGUGAAAUGCUUAGAGAUGACACAGAACACCGAUUGCGAAGGCAGCGUACUACACAAUUAUUGACGCUGAGGCACGAAAGCGUGGGGAUCAAACAGGAUUAGAUACCCUGGUAGUCCACGCCCUAAACGAUGAUUACUCGACAUUGGCGAUAUGACUGAUCAGUGUCUGAGCGAAAGCAUUAAGUAAUCCACCUGGGAAGUACGUCCGCAAGGAUGAAACUCAAAGGAAUUGGCGGG